rnacentral:tRNA from 3 species
UCGGGAUAGCUCAGUUGGUAGAGCAGAGGACUGAAAAUCCUCGUGU